AGGCUAUCCAACUGAAACUUCUGCAUCAAAAAAGAAGAAAUGCUGUCAACGAACAAAGAAGAGAGGGGAGAAAGGCUUCAUUGAAGGAUGGUAGGUGAUCAGUUUCUGAUUCCUUUCUUCACAUUUAUGCUAAAGUCUUGCCGCACUUUGUUGCUGUUGGCUAUGUGAGGAAUGCUGUGCCUGAAGAUGGCUGAAGGAUCAGUGAUGAUGAUAAUGAUGAUAUAUGUAAUGCUUAUAUAAAGUUAAUAUGUUCCUUAUUUGUAAGAGCUGAUGUAAUUUCUAGUUUGUGUUCUUAUUAUACAUGUUAUGAUGCUCACUUUAAUCUAGAUUUGUUUCAGGCUUCUAAUUGGAUUUCACAGCUUAACACAAUGAAUUAAAGAUACAUUUGAGA